rnacentral:rRNA from 1 species
GUGGGGAAUAUUGGACAAUGGGCGAAAGCCUGAUCCAGCCAUGCCGCGUGUGUGAAGAAGGUCUUCGGAUUGUAAAGCACUUUAAGUUGGGAGGAAGGGUAGUAACCUAAUACGUUGCUACUUUGACGUUACCGACAGAAUAAGCACCGGCUAACUUCGUGCCAGCAGCCGCGGUAAUACGAAGGGUGCAAGCGUUAAUCGGAAUUACUGGGCGUAAAGCGCGCGUAGGUGGUUCAGUAAGUUGGAAGUGAAAUCCCCGGGCUCAACCUGGGAACUGCUUUCAAAACUGCUGAGCUAGAGUACGGUAGAGGGUGGUGGAAUUUCCUGUGUAGCGGUGAAAUGCGUAGAUAUAGAAAGGAACACCAGUGGCGAAGGCGACCACCUGGACUGAUACUGACACUGAGGUGCGAAAGCGUGGGGAGCAAACAGGAUUAGAUACCCUUGUAGUCC